UGUGUAGCGGUGAAAUGCGUAGAUAUAUGGAGGAACACCAGUGGCGAAAGCGGCUCUCUGGUCUGUCACUGACGCUGAGGCUCGAAAGCGUGGGUAGCGAACAGGAUUAGAUACCCUGGUAGUCCACGCCGUAAACGAUGAGUGCUAGGUGUUAGGCCCUUUCCGGGGCUUAGUGCCGGAGCUAACGCAAUAAGCACUCCGCCUGGGGAGUACGACCGCAAGGUUGAAACUCAAAGGAAUUGGCGGGGGCCCGCACAAGCGGUGGAGCAUGUGGUUUAAUUCGAAGCAACGCGAAGAACCUUACCAGGUCUUGACAUCCCGAUGCUAUUCUUAGAGAUAGGAAGUUACUUCGGUACAUCGGAGAUAGGUGGUGCAUGGUUGUCGUCAGCUCGUGUCGUGAGAUGUUGGGUUAAGUCCCGCAACGAGCGCAACCCUUAUUGUUAGUUGCCAUCAUUAAGUUGGGCACUCUAGCGAGACUGCCGGUAAUAAACCGGAGGAAGGUGGGGAUGACGUCAAAUCAUCAUGCCCCUUAUGACCUGGGCUACACACGUGCUACAAUGGUCGGUACAACGAGUUGCGAGCCGGUGACGGCAAGCUAAUCUCUGAAAGCCGAUCUCAGUUCGGAUUGGAGGCUGCAACUCGCCUCCAUGAAGUCGGAAUCGCUAGUAAUCGCGGAUCAGCACGCCGCGGUGAAUACGUUCCCGGGCCUUGUACACACCGCCCGUCACACCACGAGAGUUUGUAACACCCGAAGUC
rnacentral:rRNA from 1 species